rnacentral:tRNA from 1 species
UUACCUUUAAGGUGANCAGUUGGUUAGAGCAUCUGACUGUUAAUCAGAGGGUCCUUGGUUCGAGCCCAAGAGGGGGAG